rnacentral:rRNA from 1 species
UCCUGGCUCAGGAUGAACGCUAGCGACAGGCUUAACACAUGCAAGUCGAGGGGCAUCACGGGAGUAGCAAUACAACUGGUGGCGACCGGCGCACGGGUGAGUAACGCGUAUGCAACCUACCUAUCAGAGGGGAAUAACCCGGCGAAAGUCGGACUAAUACCGCAUAAAACAGGGGCACCGCAUGGUGAUAUUUGUUAAAGAAAUUCGCUGAUAGAUGGGCAUGCGUUCCAUUAGGCAGUUGGUGAGGUAACGGCUCACCAAGCCGACGAUGGAUAGGGGAACUGAGAGGUUGGUCCCCCACACUGGUACUGAGACACGGACCAGACUCCUACGGGAGGCAGCAGUGAGGAAUAUUGGUCAAUGGGCGGGAGCCUGAACCAGCCAAGUCGCGUGAAAGGAAGAAGGAUCUAUGGUUCGUAAACUUCUUUUGCAGGGGAAUAAAGUGCAGGACGUGUCCUGUUUUGUAUGUACCCUGAGAAUAAGGAUCGGCUAACUCCGUGCCAGCCGCAGC